CCCAGCUGUAGGCAGCUACCUAGGUUUCCUUGUACCUAGGCAAGUGUUACACUGCUGGGAGAACAGCAGCCAAUAGCUGGUUGGCAUUCUGGGCCUGGUUCAUGCCAACUCU
rnacentral:snoRNA from 1 species